AAAAAAAGUAGACUCCUUUCAGAUUCCACUUGAAAAAUGUACUAGUAAUACAGAAUUUGAUAAGGAACCCGAAACUAUUUUUUUUAUAAUUCAAAAACUUGUCAUUAAUGAGGUAAAAAUCGUCAAACAUUUGAAUUGUUUAUAAAAAUUGGGAUUUUCAAUAAUGUUCAACAUUGCAUUUUUUUUAUGAAAGCUUAUUCGUUCACCUUCCGAAUGCACUGUGAAUGAUGUCUUUACGUCGAAUAGAACCGGAUAUAUGCGAGCUCCUUUUGCAUCAAAAUUGAAUGAUUGUCUUGUAACUUUCGAUAACAAACAUAAUUCGGACGGACACCAAAAUGCGUAUCGAUUCUUUUUAUCUUUAUUUCAUGUGAAAAAAAGUAUGAAUAGAUUGAAAAAAUACGAGGUCAUGUUUUGAUUGACGUGACGUAGAAUUCCUUGUACGUAUGUUGAUAUAGAUAAACAUUCUUCAUAUUUUAACGAAAAUUAUAUUCACCGGCGCACAGUGGUCUGAAAGCCCGAAUUCUUGGCCAAAACCCCCAAAACCGAAAGUUAUCAUCCGAGGUAAAGCUUCACAUAUUUGUCAAUUGAUAGCAUUAGAGCUUUGAAAUCCAAUAGGGCAGAUGUUCAUAUUCAUUCCAUGGCCUGUGGUAAGCCCUCGAAAAUGACCAUUGUCGAGACUCGCGCGGGACUGUGGUGUGUGCACGCUUUCGAGCGCACGAAAAAAAAGGCUGUAGUUUUUUCAAUUUUCAUCAAAAUCGAGUCAACCAAAAUGGAUAUUAUUCCUCAAGAGAAUUAGUUAUGAUCCCCGGAGAUCCUGCGGAGAUCUCAACGAUUCCUAGUGUGAAAAAGUAUAGAAAAUGUGAAACCGUUGCCAUCACCUGCUCGUUUUUGCUCCAUUGGUCAAAAAUACGCAUUCUUUGAAGCAGUGUUUUGUCGACUCGGUCGGAGCCUCGUGGCCCGCCUCGUGGGAUUAGUGUAGCGGGGCGACGCAGACAACGUCAUUCAUCGAAACGACGUCGAUGAUGAGAAUUCAGAUAGCGAUUAGUAUGUAUCUUUAAAAAUUAUGUUAUUUUGUUUUAUAAGAAAAAAACCUGUAUGAAUUAAAGGAAUUAAUUUACAAAAUA